UUGAAGACCGGUCGGUACCUCGAUCCUCCUAUUUCGCACGAGAAUUUUCAGUUCUCUUUGUACUUCUAGUUACCGCCCUGCGAUAUCCAAUGAUGGCAAAGGGGGUGGUCAUCCUGUGCGCAUUCCUAGCGCUUUGCCUGAUCUCCGCUGAGGUCCAGGGGCUUGUGGUAUUAGGCAACGCUCGAGGAGGGCGAAGAGCGCCGAGCAGGAGAUUUGGCUACGGAUCCAGGUUAAGGUCUAACAAGAACCGUUAACCGUUAAUUAUACAAGAAACCCAGAUCUGAUGUUUACGAAAUCGCCGAAAAGGCUGCUUCAGAUGGAGCUGAGAAACGCCAGAGGAGGUUCAGCUUUUCGGACGACCUCGAAUUUCUAAGAAGUGUUGAUAACAAAAAAGGUUUUGAUUUCUUCGACGAAAAACGAAACGGCAACAAGCAAGAAAACACUGAAUAAUUUAUCGAAAUACUACAACGAAUAACUGCAAACGAAAAAAAGGAACAUGUAUUAUUUGUUGCAUGGUAACCUUAAAGGUGGCAAAGGAUACCAAAACAAGUAGUCGACUGCGCCAAGUUUUUUUUUCUUUACUUUGACUUGUACAGGGCAGACUUUGAUAACACAGUCGACUUCUUGUAUCAUAUUAAGUAUUCGUGUGCAAGAUCACAAUCACUUAGUUGUUAUGCAUGAGCAUGUUAUAUAAUGCAAAUCAAUAGAUCAACGUUGGGGUGGUGACUAAUAAUGAUCUGAUCUGUAUUAAGCCAAUAAUACUAGAUUUAGUCAAUAAAAUGGACGAAGAUAUGAACAUCCA